GCAUGGAUCUGCGGGAAAAGGAUUUAUUCGCUUCAGGAUGGACUCGCGUCCAAUUAGCUAGUUGGUGAGGUAACGGCCCACCAAGGCGACGAUUGGUAGCCGGACUGAGAGGUUGAACGGCCACAUUGGGACUGAGACACGGCCCAGACUCCUACGGGAGGCAGCAGUGGGGGAUAUUGCACAAUGGGGGAAACCCUGAUGCAGCGACGCCGCGUGGAGGAAGAAGGUUUUCGGAUUGUAAACUCCUGUCGUUAGGGACGAUAAUGACGGUACCUAACAAGAAAGCACCGGCUAACUACGUGCCAGCAGCCGCGGUAAAACGUAGGGUGCAAGCGUUGUCCGGAAUUACUGGGUGUAAAGGGAGCGCAGGCGGACCGGCAAGUUGGAAGUGAAAACUAUGGGCUCAACCCAUAAAUUGCUUUCAAAACUGCUGGCCUUGAGUAGUGCAGAGGUAGGUGGAAUUCCCGGUGUAGCGGUGGAAUGCGUAGAUAUCGGGAGGAACACCAGUGGCGAAGGCGACCUACUGGGCACCAACUGACGCUGAGGCUCGAAAGCAUGGGUAGCAAACAGGAUUAGAUACCCUGGUAGUCCAUGCCGUAAACGAUGAUUACUAGGUGUUGGAGGAUUGACCCCUUCAGUG
rnacentral:rRNA from 1 species